rnacentral:Y_RNA from 1 species
GGCUGGUCCAAGUACAGUAGUGUUUACAACUAUAUGCAACUGUAUGAUCACAACCAGUUACAGAUUUCUUUGUUCCUUCUCCAUCCCCACUGCUUUACUUGACUAGCCAAAA